UGACAACAGAAUCGUGGGUCUGGCAUUAGCUUAGCAGUACUGUGUUUGCUUACAAUGUCCAAGGCCCUGACUUCAGUCCAUAACGCUGUCCCAAACAAGCAAACGUCAUCGUAAGGAUGGUGUCUGUGUGUUUGUGGGUGGAGUGGCUUCCCACUAAGCAGGGAAUAGGAAGGUCAUUAAUGCACCGAGCAUUUCUCAUGCUUUAAGGCAAGGAACAGAAAAAGGUAACUACGUCUAGAUUGACACUUGCUCGGCCCAUAUUUGUUAUGCCGACUCAAUUUGGGGACAAUAUUUGGACAAAUAAUGCCCGUUCCUUUAUACAUUUUAAAUUCUAUUUAUAUUUAUUUGUGUGUGUUUCAGGGCCUGAGAUACCUAUGCACCAUGGUUUGUGAGUGAGGUCAGGGGGCAGCUCAGGAGUCUCUUAGAGAUCAAACUUAAGUUUGUCAGACCGUAGGCACAUACAUUGGCUGAGCUAUAGCUCCAGGACCCCCAUCUUGAAAAUUUUUUAAGUUAAAUUUUUAUUUACUUGCGUCUGGGGAAAUGGCCAUGGCCAUUUUCAUUCUAAAAUAAACUCUCCUUUUCAGCAACGAAUUAUAUGAUCACCUUGAUUAUGACGGCGUUGUUUCUGGAUAAUCAUGCCAAUAAGGCAAAAUCAAUCAAUCAAUCAAUCAAUCAAAAGUUACAUUGGUUUUGAAGGUGGGAAUAAAUCUGCUGACCACAGCUGAAAGCUACUUGGGGAAGAAAGGGUUCAUUUCAUCCUGCACUUCUCCAUCGUGCUCCAUCACUGAAGGAACUGGGCAGGAGCUUAAAGCAGGAAUCUGGGAGCAGGAACUGAAGCAGAGGCCAUAGAGGAGUGCUGAUUGCUGGCUUGCUCUCCGUAGUCUGCUCAGCGACCUUUCUCGUGUAACCCAGGACCACCUGCCCAAGGAUGGGACCUCCUGCAGUCAAUCACCAAUCAGGAAAAUGCCCCACAGACAUGGUGACAGGCCGUUCUGUUGGGAAAGUUUUCUCACCUGAAGUUCCCCUUUACCAGAUGACCCUAACACAAAUGCAUUACUGAUUGAAAAAAAUUGAAAGAAAUCAAGGAAAAAUUAAGUGGAAAUUUCAUGUUCAUGGAGAGAGAGAGUCAUUAUUGUCAGGACUUCUGAACUUGAUUGAUAAAUUCAUUGGAGUCUCAAAUCGAAAUUCCAUUAGUUACUUUAUAGAUAUUGACAAUUUAAUUUUGCAGUUUAUAUAGAAGAGCAAGCACGAUAUUAAAGAAUGGAGUUGGACGGUUGGCUUUAAGUCUUCUAGAGAGAUGUAAUGAUCAAGUGUGGCCCUGGCAAGAGACAGACAAGCAGGUCAGUGGAGCAAAUCUGACACGGGGGGCUUCUGAGGUCCCACAGAUUUGAUCAACUCAUCUUUGACAAGGAACAAGGGAAACACGGUGGGGUUUUGCCUUUUUCACUGGUGCUGGGACAACUGGGCUCUAUGUAAAAACUAACAAACGAGAACUCAGAAUGGGCCAUAAGCAUGCGUUUAAUCUAUGAAACUGUUAGGAAAUACCGCAGGAGAAUGUGCAGGUAACUUUAGGUCUGGAGAUAUUUUACAAACAGGCAAAAUUCACAGAAGGAAGAUAUCAGAAGGCGUGCCUAUUAAAUAUCGUUUUUUUUUUUAAAUGCACCUUGCAAAAAAAAAAAAGACAGUAUCAAGAGAAUAAAAAGAUGAGAUGCGGGUCAGGAGAAAAUAUUUAAAUAUUUUCAAAAGAUGUAUUUCAAAUAUGCAAAGAAGUCCUACAACUCAAUAAAAACUCUUAAGUUAAAAAUGGGCUAAAUCCCUUACAGAUACCCAAGAAACUAGGAAAAUAGCAAGAUGAUCCUAUGAAUAGAUGAUCCACAUCAGAGACAUCAGAAGAGUGCCAAUCAGAAUAACAGAUACCACUUGGCACUGCUUGGAAUGGCCAGAAUCCGUUACACAGAAAAAGACCAGGUGCUGGCAAGGAUGUGGAUCAACAGGAACUCUCAAUCAUUUGCCAGAGGGAGUGCUGGAUGGUACAGCCAUCUUGGAAAAUGUUGUGAAACCAUACACCUUCACCAGGUGGUCGGUCUAGGAGUUGCAGUUGCGUUCCUUGCAAUCUACCCAAAGGAGCUGGGAAUUUACAUACAUUCAAAAAAGAAAAAUCCCUACAGAGGGGUUCUAAUUAUCACUGUGUUAGUAGUUACCAAACUUGGAAGCAAUAAAGAUACCCUGUAUUCUUCAGAGUAAAUGAAGAAGUUACCUAGGCAAUGGGAUAUUAUUUCAUGAUGAAAAGACAUGGGUAGGGCCAGGGAGACAGUUGUGUUAUUAAGGAGCCUUCCAAGCUGGGGAACCUGCAUCCGACCCUCAGAACCCAAAUUUAAAAAAAGAAAAAGAAAAACCCAGAUGAGCCGCAUAUGCUUAUAGUCCCAGCUCUGAGGUCGCAGAAACAGGUGGAUCCCUGGGGCCCCGUGAGCUCUCCAGACUACUGUGUUUGGUGAGCCCCAGGCUACUGAGAGACCCUGUCUAUUAAAAAACAAAACAAACAAACAAACAAAAAAAAACAGUAACC
rnacentral:lncRNA from 1 species